AACGAACGCUGGCGGCAUGCCUAACACAUGCAAGUCGAACGAGACCUUCGGGUCUAGUGGCGCACGGGUGCGUAACGCGUGGGAACCUGCCCUUAGGUUCGGAAUAACUCCCCGAAAGGGGUGCUAAUACCGGAUAAUGUCUUCGGACCAAAGAUUUAUCGCCUUUGGAUGGGCCCGCGUUGGAUUAGCUAGUUGGUAGGGUAAAAGCCUACCAAGGCGACGAUCCAUAGCUGGUCUGAGAGGAUGAUCAGCCACACUGGGACUGAGACACGGCCCAGACUCCUACGGGAGGCAGCAGUGGGGAAUAUUGGAAAAAGGGCGAAAGACUGAUCCAGCAAUGCCGCGUGAGUGAUGAAGGCCUUAGGGUUGUAAAGCUCUUUUACCCGGGAUGAUAAUGACAGUACCGGGAGAAUAAGCUCCGGCUAACUCCGUG
rnacentral:rRNA from 1 species